rnacentral:RNase_P_RNA from 1 species
GUCAAAAAUUUUGCUUGAUAGGUUGAAAAAGAGAAGUCUUCACGUUCAGUUAAACCGGAUACCUAUGUCACUCUGUAGCGCCUCCCUCAGAAGGUCUGAGACUAGAGCCAACGGCGGCCCUAGCAAGGCCCCCCCACGACCCCCGCCAAGCGCGGGGAGGUGAGUUUCUAGAGAGGGGGGCUCCGCGGGAGGGCAGACCCGGAAGGAGAAGCUGGGGCCUCCUGUGGAGGGCCUGGUCUGGCAGAUGCCCCCUUAGCCCGAGCUUGGAACAGACUCAAGGCCGGCUCAAUGAGUUCAAUGGCUGAGGUGAAGCACCCCCCAGGGCCUCAUAACCCAAUUCAGGUUACUCUUGUCUGCC